rnacentral:rRNA from 1 species
CGGAACAGGGGACAGGGGGUCCGGGUUAUGUGUAGGGUGCAGGCGUUGUCCGGAUUUAUUUGGCGUAAAGCGAGAGCUGGCGGUUUCUGAAGUCUGAUGUGAAAGCCCCCGGCUCAAACGGGGAGGGUCAUUGGAAACGGGGAGAGUUGAGUGCAGAAGAGGGGAGUGGAAUUCCAUGUGUAGCGGUGAAAUGCGUAGAUAUAUGGAGGAACACCAGUGGCGAAGGCGGCUCUCUGGUCUGUAACUGACGCUGAGGCUCGAAAGCGUGGGGAGCGAACAGGAUUAGAUACCCUGGUAGUC